rnacentral:tRNA from 1 species
AGGGGGAAUGGUCGGGAUAGUUCAGU